rnacentral:rRNA from 1 species
GAUGAACGCUGGCGGCGUGCCUAAUACAUGCAAGUCGAGCGAACAGACGAGGAGCUUGCUCCUCUGACGUUAGCGGCGGACGGGUGAGUAACACGUGGAUAACCUACCUAUAAGACUGGGAUAACUUCGGGAAACCGGAGCUAAUACCGGAUAAUAUAUUGAACCGCAUGGUUCAAUAGUGAAAGACGGCUUUGCUGUCACUUAUAGAUGGAUCCGCGCCGCAUUAGCUAGUUGGUAAGGUAACGGCUUACCAAGGCAACGCUGCGUAGCCGACCUGAGAGGGUGAUCGGCCACACUGGAACUGAGACACGGUCCAGACUCCUACGGGAGGCAGCAGUAGGGAAUCUUCCGCAAUGGGCGAAAGCCUGACGGAGCAACGCCGCGUGAGUGAUGAAGGUCUUCGGAUCGUAAAACUCUGUUAUUAGGGAAGAACAAAUGUGUAAGUAACUAUGCACGUCUUGACGGUACCUAAUCAGAAAGCCACGGCUAACUACGUG